rnacentral:rRNA from 1 species
GACGUAGGGCGCGAGCGUUGUCCGGAUUUAUUGGGCGUAAAGAGCUCGUAGGCGGCUUGUCGCGUCGUCCGUGAAAGCCCGGGGCUUAACCCCGGGUCUGCAUUCGAUACGGGCAGGCUAGAGUUCGGUAGGGGAGAUCGGAAUUCCUGGUGUAGCGGUGAAAUGCGCAGAUAUCAGGAGGAACACCGGUGGCGAAGGCGGAUCUCUGGGCCGAUACUGACGCUGAGGAGCGAAAGCGUGGGGAGCGAACAGG